rnacentral:rRNA from 1 species
UACGGGAGGCAGCAGUGAGGAAUAUUGGUCAAUGGACGAGAGUCUGAACCAGCCAAGUCGCGUGAAGGAUGAAGGUUCUAUGGAUUGUAAACUUCUUUUGUCCGAGGGUAAAGUGUGGGACGUGUCCCAUUUGGCAAGUAUCGGACGAAUAAGCAUCGGCUAACUACGUGCCAGCAGCCGCGGUAAU